rnacentral:rRNA from 1 species
AGGACGAACGCUGGCGGCGCGCUUAACACAUGCAAGUCGAGCGGCAGCGCGGUAGCAAUACUGGCGGCGAGCGGCGGACGGGUGAGUAACGCUUGGGAAUCUGCCUAUUAGUGGGGGACAACCCGGGGAAACUCGGGCUAAUACCGCAUACGCUCUACGGAGGAAAGCCGGGGACCGCAAGGCCUGGCGCUAAUAGAUGAGCCCAAGUCGGAUUAGCUAGUUGGUAGGGUAACGGCCUACCAAGGCGACAAUCCGUAGCUGGUCUGAGAGGACGACCAGCCACACCGGAACUGAGACACGGUCCGGACUCCUACGGGAGGCAGCAGUGGGGAAUAUUGGACAAUGGGGGCAACCCUGAUCCAGCGACGCCGCGUGGGUGAAGAAGGCCUGGCGGUUGUAAAGCCCUUUCGGUGGGGAAGAAAAGUUGCGACCUAACACGUUGCGACCCUGACGUAACCCACUAAAGAAGCACCGGCUAACUCUGUCGCCAGCAGCCGC